rnacentral:lncRNA from 1 species
UGAUCACCAAUCGAAUUCUCAUCUUCGGACUCUCUACCAGUGGAAGCCAUAGAAAGAGAGAACAAGAAAAGUUCAGAAAAAGAAGAGAGAAGGAUCGAGAAAGAAACCUCUAUGGAAGAAAAGAAGACCAAUGGCAAGGACAACAACGGCGACGGAAGAUCGAUGUCGAAAGAGAUGACUCACCGACAGUCAAACUCUCUGCUAAAGAGGGAGCGGGAC